AGCGAACGCUGGCGGCGUACCUAACACAUGCAAGUCGAACGGGGAUCACAGGGUUAGCAAUAACUCCGUGGUUCUAGUGGCGCACGGGUGAGUAACACGUGGGUAACCUGCCCUUGAGACCGGGAUACCCCCUCGAAAGGGGGGCUAAUACCGGAUACGUUCCUCGGAUCGAAAGGUCUGAGGAGGAAAGGUGGCGAAAGCUGCCGCUCUUGGAGGGGCUCGCGGCCUAUCAGCUAGUUGGCGGGGUAACGGCCCACCAAGGCUAUGACGGGUAGCUGGUCUGAGAGGACGACCAGCCACACGGGGACUGAGACACGGCCCGACUCCUACGGGAGGCAGCAGUGGGGAAUUUUCCGCAAUGGGACGAAAGCCUGACGGAGUGACGCCGCGUGUGGGACGAAGGCC
rnacentral:rRNA from 1 species